GCAAACUUGGUCAUUUAGAGGAAGUAAAAGUCGUAACAAGGUUUCCGUAGGUGAACCUGCGGAAGGAUCAUUACAGUAUUCUUUUUGCCAGCGCUUAAUUGCGCGGCGAAAAAACCUUACACACUGUGUUUUCUUACUGAUAAAACUUUGUUUUGGCUUGUCUCUAGAAAUAGAGUUGGGCCAAAAGUUAACAUAAACUUCAAUUUAUUUGAAUUGUUUGUCUGAACUUAAUAGUCACUUUGUUUGAUUGAUUUCAAAAAAAUAUUUAAAACUUUCAACAAUGGAUCUCUUGGUUCUCGCAUCGAUGAAGAACGCAGC
rnacentral:misc_RNA from 1 species